rnacentral:rRNA from 1 species
CAGAGCCGCGGUAAUACAGAGGGUGCGAGCGUUAAUCGGAUUUACUGGGCGUAAAGCGCGCGUAGGCGGUUACUCAAGUCAGAGGUGAAAGCCCGGGGCUCAACCCCGGAACUGCCUUUGAAACUAGGUGACUAGAAUCUUGGAGAGGUCAGUGGAAUUCCGAGUGUAGAGGUGAAAUUCGUAGAUAUUCGGAAGAACACCAGUGGCGAAGGCGACUGACUGGACAAGUAUUGACGCUGAGGUGCGAAAGCGUGGGGAGCAAACAGGAUUAGAUACCCCUGUAGUCCCUGUCUCUUAUACC